AUUGAACGCUGGCGGAAUGCUUUACACAUGCAAGUCGAACGGCAGCACGGACUUCGGUCUGGUGGCGAGUGGCGAACGGGUGAGUAAUGUACCGGAACGUGCCCAGUCGUGGGGGAUAACGUAGUGAAAAUUACGCUAAUACCGCAUACGAUCUAUGGAUGAAAGCGGGGGAUCGCAAGACCUCGCGCGAUUGGAGCGGCCGAUAUCAGAUUAGGUAGUUGGUGGGGUAAAGGCCCACCAAGCCAACGAUCUGUAGCUGGUCUGAGAGGACGACCGGCCACACUGGAACUGAGACACGGUCCAGACUCCUACGGGAGGCAGCAGUGGGGAAUUGUGGACAAUGGGCGCAAGCCUGAUCCAGCCAUUCCGCGUGCAGGAUGAAGGCCCUCGGGUUGUAAACUGCUUUUGUACAGAACGAAAAGGUUUCUACUAAUACUAGGAGCUCAUGACGGUACUGUAAGAAUAAGCACCGGCUAACUUCGUGCCAGCAGCCGCGGUAA
rnacentral:rRNA from 1 species